rnacentral:rRNA from 1 species
GACGAACGCUGGCGGCGUGCUUAACACAUGCAAGUCGAACGGAAAGGCCCUGCUUUUGUGGGGUGCUCGAGUGGCGAACGGGUGAGUAACACGUGAGUAACCUGCCCUUGACUUUGGGAUAACUUCAGGAAACUGGGUCUAAUACCGGAUAGGAGCUCCUGCUGCAUGGUGUGGGUUGGAAAGUUUCGGCGGUUGGGGAUGGACUCGCGGCUUAUCAGCUUGUUGGUGGGGUAGGGGCUUACCAAGGCUUUGACGGGUAGCCGGCCUGAGAGGGUGACCGGGCACAUUGGGACUGAGAUACGGACCAGAAUCCUACGGGAGGCAGUAGUGGGGAAUAUUGCACAAUGGGCGGAAGCCUGAUGCAGAAACGCCGCGUGCGGGAUGACGGCCUUCGGGUUGUAAACCGAUUUCGACUGUGCCGAAGCGUGAGUGACGGUAAUGGGUAAAGAAGCACCGGCUAACUACGUG